UACGUAGGUGGCAAGCGUUGUCCGGAUUUACUGGGCGUAAAGAGCGCGCAGGCGGUCGUUCAAGUCGCGUGUGAAAGCCCCCGGCUCAACUGGGGAGGGUCACGCGAUACUGAUCGACUGGAAGGCAGGAGAGGGAAGCGGAAUUCCCGGUGUAGUGGUGAAAUGCGUAGAUAUCGGGAGGAACACCAGUGGCGAAGGCGGCUUCCUGGCCUGUUCUUGACGCUGAGGCGCGAAAGCGUGGGGAGCGAACAGG
rnacentral:rRNA from 1 species